rnacentral:rRNA from 1 species
UUAAAGGAAUUGACGGAAGGGCACCACCAGGAGUGGAGCCUGCGGCUUAAUUUGACUCAACACGGGAAAACUUACCCGGCCAGGACACCGGAAGGAUUGACAGAUUAAUAGCUCUUUCUUGAUUCGGUGGGUGGUGGUGCAUGGCCGUUCUUAGUUGGUGGAGUGAUUUGUCUGGUUAAUUCCGAUAACGAACGAGACUCUAGCCUACUAACUAGAUCCUCGAUCCGUGGUAUCGAGAUUGAUCUUCUUAGAGGGACAGGCGGCUUUUAGCCGCACGAAACGGAGCAAUAACAGGUCUGUGAUGCCCUUAGAUGUCCGGGGCCGCACGCGCGCUACACUGAAGGAAUCAACGUGUGUCUACCCUGGUCCGAAAGGACUGGGUAACCCGAUGAACCUCCUUCGUGAUAGGGAUAGGGGAUUGUAAUUCUUCCCCUUGAACGAGGAAUUCCCAGUAAGCGCGAGUCAUCAGCUCGCGUUGAUUACGUCCCUGCCCUUUGUACACACCGCCCGUCGCUACUACCGAUUGAAUGAUUUAGCAAGGCCUUCGGACUGGCUUUGAAAGCGCCUAAAAACGCUAUCGGAGCUGGAAAGAUGUCCAAACUUGAUCAUUUAGAGGAAGUAAAAGUCGUAACAAGGUUGCC